CUCUCUAAUUCCUCCUUGCCUAAUCUUCUUCUUCUUUCUCAUUCUAACCCACAAUUCUGAAAACACCAUUGCAGGUAUUCGAGUUUCAUGAAGUCAUCCAUGGUUACUGUAAUGGAUUAGUUACGAUUAGUCAUUACUUGUAUCAGUUGGUUGAGACAAUUUGUAAACUGUUCCGUUAUCGAUAAAAUUCCCUUUUGAUUAUUUGAUUGUUCAAUUUGUAAGAGCAUUACAGCCAUCACCUAAAGGCUCAAGACGUGGUCACCCUGAGGGCACGAGAAUAUGCAAGGAAGAUCCGUUUUGAGCCUACCAUGGAGCAUAGUAUUCAUCAAGGUCGUGAGUGGAAGAUUGCUUGGGGCAUUGAAGGCUUGAGGCUUCAUGGUUUUGGUUUAUCUUCAUUGAGGACAUUUUGGUCACUUUACUUUGCCCAAAAUGCACUCCAUGGCCACCCUUUCAUUAAGGUUGUAGGGCAUGGAAAAGCCACCAAACCGUAACUAGGGCUGCCCAAGUGUGGAUAUCACUUGUGUUGCGAUGUUGGCUUGAUACGUUGGUGUUUAGAGGAGGUAAAGUUCCUCUUGUGUCAACGUAGGAGUUAGGUUUUUAUCGUGUGUAGUGUUAAGGGUCCAAAAGUCCACCAGAUUCUUGGGUUCUUAAGAUUAUACCUUCACUUGUCUAACUAUCUAUCCAUUUUAUUGUUGUAAUCGUUUGUUUGUUGUUCUUGUACUCCAACCCGUGAGGUGUUGUUAUUGUUACUACAUUAUUGUUAUUGUUAUCUUGUUGCUAAAA